GAUGAACGCUGGCGGCGUGCCUAAUACAUGCAAGUCGAGCGAACAGACGAGGAGCUUGCUCCUCUGACGUUAGCGGCGGACGGGUGAGUAACACGUGGAUAACCUACUUAUAAGACUGGGAUAACUUCGGAAAAACGGAGAUAAUACCGGAUAAUAUAUUGAACCGCAUGGUUCAAUAGUGAAUGACGGUUUUGCUGUCACUUUUAGAUGGAUCCGCGCCGCAUUAGCUAGUUGGUAAGGUAACGGCUUACCAAGGCUACGAUGCGUAGCCGACCUGAGAGGGUGAUCGGCCACACUGGAACUGAGACACGGUCCAGACUCCUACGGGAGGCAGCAGUAGGGAAUCUUCCGCAAUGGGCGAAAGCCUGACGGAGCAACGCCGCGUGAGUGAUGAAGGUCUUCGGAUCGUAAAACUCUGUUAUUAGGGAAGAACAAAUGUGUAAGUAACUAUGCACGUCUUGACGGUACCUAAUCAGAAAGCCACGGCUAACUACGUG
rnacentral:rRNA from 1 species